UACGGAGGGUGCGAGCGUUGUCCGGAAUCACUGGGCGUAAAGGGUGCGUAGGCUGUGCAGAAAGUUGGGUGUGAAAUCCCUCGGCUUAACCGAGGAACUGCGCCCAAAACUACUGUGCUUGAGUGAGAUAGAGGUGAGCGGAACUUAGGGUGGAGCGGUGAAAUGCGUUGAUAUCCUAAGGAACACCGGUGGCGAAAGCGGCUCACUGGGUCUCAACUGACGCUGAUGCACGAAAGCUAGGGUAGCGAACGGG
rnacentral:rRNA from 1 species